AUGAACGCUGGCGGCGUGCUUAACACCUGCAAGUCGAACGGUGAACACGGAGCUUGCUCUGUGGGAUCAGUGGCGAACGGGUGAGUAACACGUGAGCAACCUGCCCCUGACUCUGGGAUAAGCGCUGGAAACGGCGUCUAAUACUGGAUAUGUGACGUGAUCGCAUGGUCUGCGUCUGGAAAGAAUUUCGGUUGGGGAUGGGCUCGCGGCCUAUCAGCUUGUUGGUGAGGUAAUGGCUCACCAAGGCGUCGACGGGUAGCCGGCCUGAGAGGGUGACCGGCCACACUGGGACUGAGACACGGCCCAGACUCCUACGGGAGGCAGCAGUGGGGAAUAUUGCACAAUGGGCGCAAGCCUGAUGCAGCAACGCCGCGUGAGGGAUGACGGCCUUCGGGUUGUAAACCUCUUUUAGCAGGGAAGAAGCGAAAGUGACGGUACCUGCAGAAAAAGCGCCGGCUAACUACGUG
rnacentral:rRNA from 1 species